UCAAAGGAAUUGACGGGGACCCGCACAAGCGGUGGACGAAGUGGAAUAAUACGAUGCAACGCGAAAAACCUUACCUACCCUUGACAUGGCUGGAAUCCCCGAGAGAUUGGGGAGUGCUCGAAAGAGAACCAGUACACAGGUGCUGCAUGGCUGUCGUCAGCUCGUGUCGUGAGAUGUUGGGUUAAGUCCCGCAACGAGCGCAACCCUUGUCAUUAGUUGCUACGAA
rnacentral:rRNA from 1 species